ACGCUCGACACCUACGGAGGCAGCAGUGAGGAAUAUUGCACAAUGGGGGAAACCCUGAUGCAGCGACGCCGCGUGGAGGAAGAAGGUCUUCGGAUUGUAAACUCCUGUUGUUGGGGAAAAAGAGGAUGGUACCCAACAAGGAAGUGACGGCUAACUACGUGCCAACAGCCGCGGUAAUCUGAGCCGGGCUGGCAAGGC
rnacentral:rRNA from 1 species